AUGGCUCAGGAUGAACGCUAGCGGCAGGCUUAACACAUGCAAGUCGAGGGGCAACGCGAGUAGCAAUACUUGGCGGCGACCGGCGCAAGGGUGCGUAACGCGUGAGCAACAUGCCCGUAUCAGGGGGAUAAUCCAGGGAAACUUGGUCUAAUACCCCAUAGUAAUUUUUGUAAGGCAUCUUAUAAGAUUUAAAGCUUUGGUGGAUACGGAUUGGCUCGCGUGACAUUAGCUGGAUGGUAAGGUAACGGCUUACCAUGGCUAUGAUGUCUAGGGGUUCUGAGAGGAAGGUCCCCCACACUGGAACUGAGACACGGUCCAGACUCCUACGGGAGGCAGCAGUGAGGAAUAUUGGACAAUGGAUGGAAAUCUGAUCCAGCCAUGCCGCGUGAAGGAAAAGAAGGUCCUAUGGAUUGUAAACUUCUUUUGUAUGGGAGCAAUAAGGCCUACGUGUAGGUUGAUGAGAGUACCAUACGAAUAAGCACCGGCUAACUCCGUGCCAGCCGCAGC
rnacentral:rRNA from 1 species